AUUGAACGCUGGCGGCAUGCCUUACACAUGCAAGUCGAACGGCAGCGCGGGAGCAAUCCUGGCGGCGAGUGGCGAACGGGUGAGUAAUAUAUCGGAACGUGCCCAUUAGUGGGGGAUCGCCCGGCGAAAGCCGGAUUAAUACCGCAUACGACCUGAGGGUGAAAGCGGGGGAUCGCAAGACCCCGCGCUCUUGGAGCAGCCGAUAUCAGAUUAGCUAGUUGGUGGGGUAAAGGCCUACCAAGGCAACGAUCUGUAGUUGGUCUGAGAGGACGAACAGCCACACUGGGACUGAGACACGGCCCAGACUCCUACGGGAGGCAGCAGUGGGGAAUUUUGGACAAUGGGCGCAAGCCUGAUCCAGCAAUGCCGCGUGCAGGAAGAAGGCCUUCGGGUUGUAAACUGCUUUUGUCAGGGAAGAAAUCCUUUGGGCUAAUACCUCGGAGGGAUGACGGUACCUGAAGAAUAAGCACCGGCUAACUACGUGCCAGCCGCCGCCGUAA
rnacentral:rRNA from 1 species